rnacentral:rRNA from 1 species
UACCAGCUCUUCGAGUGGUGUGGAUGUUUAUUGGGCCUAAAGCAUCCGUAGCUGGCUGGGCAAGUCCCCUGUUAAAUCCACCGAUUCAAUCGUUGGAGUGCGGGGGAUACUGCUCGGCUAGGGGACGGGAGAGGCAGACGGUAUUUUCGGGGUAGGGGUGAAGUCCUAUAAUCCCGGGAAGACCACCAGUGGCGAAGGCUGUCUGCUAGAACGUGCCCGACGGUGAGGGAUGAAAGCUGGGGGGAGCGAACCGGAUUAGAUACCCGGGUAGUCCCAGCUGUAAACGAUGCAGGCUAGGUGUUUGGACGGUCACGUGCCGUUCUAGUGCCGCAGGGAAGCCGUUAAGCCUGCCGCCUGGGGAUACGGCCGCAAGGCUGAAACUUAAGGAAUUGGCGGGGAGCACCACAAGGGUGAGGCUUGCGGUUU